UUACAGGAUCUCGUCUGGGUUCCAGAUGACGGAGUAGGUGUGGAAAUCCUGGGUAGGAUCAAACCAGAGCCGGUACUGCACCUCCCUGCCGCCUUCGCCGUUGGCAAAGAUGUUGGUAUGCAGGGUGUACGGUUGCCCGGUGCAGCUGCUGUUUCAUGGUCACUUACGUAUAUCGUGGUGACGGUGCCGGCGGAGUCGUCGGCGACGAGCUUGAUGUCCAUGUCGAUCCUUGCAAAGAGGUACGAGGUCUUGGACUUGAACGCCGACCCCAUCACGCGGUCUAGCGUCAGCGCAAUUGUCUGGUCGCCAUUGCUGUCGUUGAGCAGCUGCGUCUGGCCAAACAGUACCUCGAGCUGGUCCGUCAUGAGCCCACCGCCGGUCACCGGCGUGGCGGCGGCGAGCAGCGCAGAAGCCAACAGGCAGGCUAGGAGGUGGUGCGCCCUAGCCGGCGCCAUGGCUUCCGGCCGGUGGUGUAAACUGUGAAGUGAGUGAGUGAUGUACUGCUGUGUGUGAGGGGCAGUGAGGCCAUGGUCAAGUGCAGGCUAUAUGCAGAACAAUAGCACCAGGGUCAAAAGACUUUCAGAUUGAUCUCAUCGAACUCGGCGAUGGAUGCAUUAGAUAUUUGGUUUCUUGGAAGAUGUAAAGAAGUUUGGAUUAUGGGCUGGCUAGUGAAGACCUAGGCAUAGAAAAUGAUGGAAGAGUAUGUAGCUAAAGGUGAGCAGAGCUGGGAAAACAAGCAAGAAGUUGACCUGAUUAAGUGUUCGUCACAUGUC
rnacentral:lncRNA from 1 species